rnacentral:pre_miRNA from 1 species
UAUUAAAAAUUUCAUCUAUUUGUGCGGUUAUAAAUUGACGUGCCAAGUGUACUUCAUGUUGACGUACAUAGACCAGUUUUUAAUAGUAGAAAUAUAUGUAAUUUUUAACA